UGAGUACGAGAUGCUACGGCAUCGAAGCAGUCUAUGUCAUACUUCCAAGAAAAGCUUGCAAUGUCAUAAACAAAUAAUGCCUGUACCAUAACCGACACAGGUGGGUAGGUAGAGUAUACUAAGGGGCGCGAGAUAACUCUCUCUAAGGAACUCGGCAAAAUGACUCCGUAACUUCGGGAGAAGGAGUGCCUUAUUUUUAUAAGGUUGCAAUAACAAGAUCCAAGCAACUGUUUACCAAAAACACAGGUCUCCGCUAAGUCGUAAGACGAUGUAUGGGGGCUGACGCCUGCCCAGUGCCAGAAGGUUAAAGAAGUUGGUUAGCAUUAGCGAAGCUGAUAACUGAAGCCCUGGUGAACGGCGGCCGUAACUAUAACGGUCCUAUGGUAGCGAAAUUCCUUGUCGGGUAAGUUCCGACCCGCACGAAAGGCGUAAUGAUUUGGAUACUGUCUCGGAGAGAGGCUCGGUGAAAUAGACUUGUCUGUGAAGAUGCGGACUACCUGCACCUGGACAGAAAGACCCUAUGAAGCUUUACUGUAACUUGAGAUUGAAAUUGGACUUUAUCUGCGCAGUAUAGGUGGGAGACGUUGAAAAUAUUCUUGCGGGAAUAUUGGAGUCAUCAGUGAGAUACCACUCUUAUAAUGUUAGAUUUCUAACUUUGUAUCAUUAUCUGGUCAAAGAACAGUUUCAGGCGGGCAGUUUGACUGGGGCGGUCGCCUCCCAAACGGUAACGGAGGCGCACAAAGGUUUCCUCUGAACGUGUAGAAAUCGUAUCUAGAGUGUAAAGGCAUAAGGAAGCUUGACUGUGAGACCUACAAGUCGAGCAGGGACGAAAGUCGGUCUUAGUGAACUGACGGUGCUGAGUGGAAAGGCCGUCACUCAACGGAUAAAAGUUACUCUAAGGAUAACAGGCUGAUCUCCCCCAAGAGUUCACAUCGACGGGGAGGUUUGGCACCUCGAUGUCGGCUCAUCGCAUCCUGGGGCGGUAGUACGUCCCAAGGGUUGGGCUGUUCGCCCAUGAAAGCGGUACGCGAGCUGGGUUCAGAACGUCGUGAGACAGUUCGGUCCAUAUCCGGUGUAGGCGUUAGAAUAUUGAGAGGAGCCUUCUUUAGUACGAGAGGACCGAGAAGGACAUACCUCUGGUGUACCAGUUAUCGUGCCAACGGUAAACGCUGGGUAGCCAUGUAUAGAGAGGAUAACCGCUGAAAGCAUCUAAGUGGGAAGCCCACCUCAAGAUAAGUAUUC
rnacentral:rRNA from 1 species